rnacentral:lncRNA from 1 species
CCACCAUCCUAGAUAAACUAUUUUUCUAGAAAUAUGGUAUUCUGACUCACAAUCACAUUGUGAUCUUAUGAAAAGUAAAAGUAGUAUCCUAUAGAUUUUUUUGGAUACCCUAUAAAAUGAGCUAUUACAAAUCUAUCCUCCAAUUUAUCAGCUAUCUGUCUCUUGACAUAAGCCGGAUAUCCCCAAGUCUUAACAUAAUUUGACUCGAUUUCUUACUGUAAUAUAUCUCAUAUGAUGUGGUAAGAACAGACUUUGAUGAAAUCCUAUUCAACAGGUAAAUGGUAGUUAAUAAGACAUAUCU